GGUGCUGGAAGGUUAAGGGGAUCUGUUAGAGCAAUCGAAGCAGUGAACUUAAGCCCCAGUAAACGGCGGCCGUAACUAUAACGGUCCUAAGGUAGCGAAAUUCCUUGUCGGGUAAGUUCCGACCCGCACGAAAGGCGUAACGAUUUGGGCACUGUCUCAACAACAGACUCGGUGAAAUUGUAAUUCCGGUGAAGAUGCCGGAUACCUGCGACAGGACGGAAAGACCCCAUGGAGCUUUACUGUAGCUUGACAUUGGGUCUUGGUACUACAUGUACAGGAUAGGUGGGAGGCUUUGAAACCAGGACGCCAGUUUUGGCGGAGCCAUCCUUGGGAUACCACCCUUGUAGUACUGGGACUCUAACCAUAGGCCAUGAAUCUGGUCUUGGGACACUGUCAGGUGGGCAGUUUGACUGGGGCGGUCGCCUCCCAAAAGGUAACGGAGGCGCUCAAAGGUUCUCUCAGUACGGUCGGAAAUCGUACGUAGAGUGUAAAGGCAAAAGAGAGCUUGAUUGCAAGACAUACAGGUCGAGCAAGGAUGAAAAUCGGACUUAGUGAUCCGGUGGUUCUGCGUGGAAGGGCCAUCGCUCAACGGAUAAAAGCUACCCUGGGGAUAACAGGCUUAU
rnacentral:rRNA from 1 species